rnacentral:lncRNA from 1 species
UUUUAUCCAAUAACACGCUCGAUGCGGUAGCAUCGCCUUUUGUAACGAUCAAGGCUGGUAAGUCCAUCGGUCCAUACAGUUGUCCAUGUACCAGUAAAAGAUUUGGCAGCAACCGCGACCCCUGCUUCUUCAGGUGGAAGUCCAGGUUGAGUAGUUACUCGGAAUGAUGCAAAUAUAUCAUUAUACUUGGUUUGGUACUCAGGAGUAUAAUAAGUCAAUUUUCACUCUUUAACACCAGCUUUGAAUCCAACACUUGCUUUAGUCUCUGUUUGUGGUGAAAUAAAUUCCUCCCUACAACUCAUGAAUUAAGAAUUGUCACAACAACAAGGCCUUCUCGACACGAAUUCCGUAUUAAUGAAACUUUUCACAAGAAUGUUUCACAAAAUUU